rnacentral:misc_RNA from 1 species
UGCAAAAACCAAAGAUUAAUAUGUAAAACCCCAACAGGGAAUAAAUCCGAUAACAUAAUCUAGAUUAACACACUAAUAAAGACCCCUACAAUGUCACAAAGCCGACGUUUCUCAAGCUUUUAUUGAACAAAUCGUGUGACAAAAAGAAAAGACUAGCACACUAUGACCGGUAAAAGACACUUCUAGUAAACCAUCUUGCAAAACCUCAUCAUCAAAACAGAAACCAAAAAGAGAGCGAGGGAACCGAAUAAUGUCCUAAUACUUGUAGUCCUUGACGUGAAGGCUCUCGGAAGCACCGUCGCCCAAGUUGGAACUACCGGCAUACUUUCCAAGGGUAGCCUCAGAGUUGGCCUUGCACCUUGUGAGAAGUGCAGCUUGGGCCUUCCCGAUAUUCUCCACCUUUCCUGACCAGGCCUUGAGGGUGCUCUGUUGGAGAGCACGUCCGAAGGAGAAGGAGAGGGUCCAGGGCUUCUUGGUUUGAAGUUUGUUCAUGGCGUUG